GAUGAACGCUGGCGGCGUGCCUAAUACAUGCAAGUCGAGCGAAUGGAUUAAGAGCUUGCUCUUAUGAAGUUAGCGGCGGACGGGUGAGUAACACGUGGGUAACCUGCCCAUAAGACUGGGAUAACUCCGGGAAACCGGGGCUAAUACCGGAUAAUAUUUUGAACUGCAUGGUUCAAAAUUGAAAGGCGGCUUCGGCUGUCACUUAUGGAGGGACCCGCGUCGCAUUAGCUAGUUGGUGAGGUAACGGCUCACCAAGGCAACGAUGCGUAGCCGACCUGAGAGGGUGAUCGGCCACACUGGGACUGAGACACGGCCCAGACUCCUACGGGAGGCAGCAGUAGGGAAUCUUCCGCAAUGGACGAAAGUCUGACGGAGCAACGCCGCGUGAGUGAUGAAGGCUUUCGGGUCGUAAAACUCUGUUGCUAGGGAAGAACAAGUGCUAGUUGAAUAAGCUGGCACCUUGACGGUACCUAACCAGAAAGCCACGGCUAACUACGUGCCAGCCGCCGCGGUAA
rnacentral:rRNA from 1 species